AUGAGUUUAUGUCUCAAUCCCAGAUCUUUCCUCAGUGGAGUAACAGGAAAGCCAAGGAUGGUGAAACUUAAGCGGGGAAUGGAGUACUAGGGCUACCUGGUAUCUGUAGAUGGCUACAUGAACAUGCAGCUUGCAAAUACAGAAGAAUACAUAGAUGGAGCAUUGUCUGGACAUCUGGGUGAAGUUUUAAUAAGGUGUAAUAAUGUCCUUUAUAUCAGAGGUGUGGAAGAAGAGGAAGAAGAUGGAGAAAUG
rnacentral:lncRNA from 10 species